rnacentral:rRNA from 1 species
UUAAAAAGCUCGUAGUCGGAUUUUGGCUGAGAACGGUCGGUCCGCCGUUAGGUGUGCACUGACUGGUCUCAGCUUCCUGGUGAGGAGGUGUGCUUCAUCGCCACUUAGUCACCGUGGUUACUUUGAAAAAAUUAGAGUGUUCAAAGCGGGCUUACGCUUGAAUAUAUUAGCAUGGAAUAACACCAUAGGACUCCUGUCCUAUUUCGUUGGUCUCGGGACGGGAGUAAUGAUUAAGAGGAACAGUUGGGGGCAUUCGUAUUUCAUUGUCAGAGGUGAAAUUCUUGGAUUUAUGAAAGACGAACUUCUGCGAAAGCAUUUGCCAAGGAUGUUUUCAUUGAUCAAGAACGAAAGUUGGGGGCUCGAAGAUGAUUAGAUACCAUCCUAGUCUCAACCAUAAACGAUGCCGACUAGGGAUUGGCGGAUGUUAAUUGAUGACUUCGCCAGCCUCUUAUGAGAAAUCAAAGUUUUUGGGUUCCGGGGGGAGUAUGGUCGCAAAGCUGAAACUUAAAGGAAUUGACGGAAGGGCACCACCAGGCGUGGAGCCUGCGGCUUAAUUUUGACUCAACACGGGGGAAACUUACCAGGGUCCAGACAUAAGUAAGGAUUGACAGAUUGAGAGCUCUU